CCUGACUGGAGGGCUGCAGGGACUUGGAACAGUAUAAGACUGGGCUAAGUGUCUGUAGCUGAGCCGGGGGAUGUUUCUUCACUGUGAACCGCAGAAAAAGAUACUGAAAAGCGGCGGCAGAACAGCAGUGGAUGGAGAAAGUGGCAGAGAGCCAGAAGAGAUAAGACCGAGCAGCAACAGGCAUGCAGCAACACAGAGAGAACUCCUGGAAGGAGAGAGAGAAAGAGAAAGAGAGCCAGCAGCAGAGAGAGCAAGACUAAGCUCUACAGACAGAGGCAGAGUUCUGGGAUGCUGAACUAAGACAUAGAAGAAGUCCAGACUCAGCAGGUGGUGGGAGUUGAAUGAAGAGGAGAUUCUGUCAGCAAGUCAUUUCUGCAGUUAAGGUGGGACAAUUCAAUGAAGGAAUAAAGGCGGAAUACUGGAG